AUCAUAAAUAGUUUGAUCUUGGCUACGAAUAUACGCUAACUAUAGGCUUUACACAUGCAAGUCGAAUGAGGAGAACGAAGUAAAAGACUAAGUUAAAUCAUGGCAUCCGGGUGAGUAGUAAAUAGGAAAGUUUACAUUUGGAAGAAAUAAAUAAGGAUAAAGUCCACCAAAAGUAAGUGCCUAUUCCAAGCCAAAGAUCUAAAAUCUAUAACUAGAAGAGAGAUAGAUCACAGUGACAAUGAAAAAGAGUCACGUGGGCCAAAGGUCUACCAGCAGUGGGGAAUAUUGGACAAUGGGUGAAAGCCUGAUCCAGCAAUAUAGUUAGAGUGAAAAGCAAAAACAUAAAACUCUAAAGAAAAGUAAAAUAAUGAUAUGACUUUUCUAAUAAUCCUGACUAAUUUCGUGCCAGCAGUCGCGGUAAUACGAAAAGGAUAAGCGUAAUUCAUAUUAUCUAGGUGUAAAGGGUCAGUAGGCGGCAAAUAAAGCUAGAGUGUAAAAGAAGAAAGAGGAAUUAAAGAUGGAGGGAUGAAAUCCUUAGAUAUAUUUAGGAACAACAAUGGCGAAGGCAUCUUUCUAAUAAACACUGACGCUAAUAGACUAAAGUGUGGGUAGCGAAAAGGAUUAGAGACCCUAUUAGUCCACACCCUAAACCAUGAGUGUAAAUCUUAACAGCAAAACACUCCACCUGGGGAGUACAAUCGCAAGAUAGAAACCCAAAAGAAUAGACGGUCUUUAAAAUCAGCAGUGAAGCAUGUUGUUUAAUUUGACAGCACCCAAACAAUCUUACCAGUCCUUGAAUACUAUACCGGUGUUGCAUGGCUGUCUUUAGUUCGUGUUGUGAAAUGUAAGGUUAAGUCCGAUAACGAACGAAACCCCCUUUACUAAUUAAAUCUUAGUAAGCAAAAUGAAAGAAUGGGACUAAGACAAGUCAUUAUGGCCCUUAAGGAUUGGGCUACAGACGUGCCACACAAGUAGUAACAAUAGGUGAAACCAUAAAUACUACUAUGUACAGAUGGUAGCCUGAAACUCGGCUACUUGAAGUAGGAAUUGCUAGUAAUCGUGGAUCAGUAUGCCACGGUGAAUAAUCAUCUUAGAGAUGUACUAAUCGCCCGUCAAGGGCAGGAAGAAAUAGAAUAAUAAAGCUAGUAGUGAAACUAAAAUUAAAAAUAUCAUUCUGGAUGAUAAAAAGGAUAUAGUGUAAUUAAUAGUGAAUAUUCUAUAACGACCUGUCUUAAGUCGUAACAAAGUGGCGGUAGGGGAACCUGUCGCUGAAUGGUAAACACC
rnacentral:rRNA from 1 species